ensembl:lncRNA
CGCUGUCCGGCCCCGGGCACAUGGAAAGGCGCGGGGCUGAUGAGAGGCUCCCUGGGCAGCCACGGGGCUGGAGGGCUGGGAGAGUUUGUGAGGUGGAGGAAGAAGGAUGCUGAGGUGGCCCUGAUCCCAGCUCCUCAUUUAAGUGUGACAGCUACGUGGGAUACUAAAAAGCCUCGGGAGCCUGUACCUGGAGGAACACUGAUGACCAGGAUACAUAUUCCAUUUGCUACCAUCACAGAGCUGUGUUCUAAAGGGGGAAGACAGAGAAAACCAAAUGCACGAGACAAAUGGUAAUUGUGACUGCAAUACAGGCCAAGAGGGGAACCAAUCACAGGGCCAAGAAAGAAAAUGCAAGAGAACACAUGCCUGUCCAUGUGAAUACACAAAUAUGUGUGUGUACAUAUACAUAUUUAUGUGACUUUUAAAACUUGAGACAAAACCGGACAGAAACAGUGACAGCUGUGCAUGGUGUGCAGAGAAGGGUGCGCCAGGUUACUUCUGAAACAUCCAGGUUGAUGAAGCUAAUUUAUUGUUUUGGCAAGGGCUUACUGUUCCUGACAAUCCUCCAUAUGAUAAGGGGGCCUUUAGAAUCGAAAUCAACUUUCCAGCAGAGUACCCAUUCAUACCACUGAAGAUCACCUUUAAAACGAAGUUCUGUCACCCAAACACUAAUGAAGAAGGGCAAGUUUGCCUGCUGGUAAUUAGUGCUGAGUACUCAGAGCCAGCAACCAAGACCGACCAGGAAAUCCAGUCCCUCACAGCACCCCCAGCCCCAGCACCCACUCCGGGCUGACCAGCUGGAGAAUACUCAGUUCUGUAAGAAUGCUGAAGAGUUUACAGAGAAAUAUGGGGAAAAGCAACCUGUGGACUGAAAUGUGCCACAAAUGAUUCCAGCAAGUGUGAGCAGGGACCGAGCAGUGCACUCAGACACCUGAAAAGCAGGACAUGUGCUGUUCACUUUUGCAGUUACUAGCUUUCUACAGUUUUCUUAAUCAAAGUGGCCUGGCAACCUGUGAAGAAAGGAUCAAAACUUUCAGAUAUUCUAGUUCCGCUUUCUUUGUUUUAAAAAUCACUGCUUCAAUCCACUUCAAAAACAUGGUGUUUCUUGUCCAAUUUACCCCAAAUCUGCAAUCUACAUUUAGACUAUAAAGUUAAAAAAAAAAGAAAAAAGAAAAAUAAAGGGUGCUGUUCCCCUUCCUUCCUCUCCUUGCAUUGUUUGUGUUUCAAAUUCAUUUUCUAACACCCAGACCCCAUCCUUACUGCAAAGAAGAAACCACUCAGGUGGCUUUUCUUUUCCAGGGUUACAUUGCCCUCUGUGGGAGUCGGUCCAGUUCUCCUGAUGCCAGUCUAGGUCCUUUUUAAAAACUGC